CGAUUUUAUUUUUUAAUCCCUGAUCCCCGCUCCGAACCCCAAAAAAUCUUCAAAAAUUCACCCCAAUCGGGGCGAGGAGCGGGGCGGGGCGGGACAAAUCGCCAUCCCUAUACGGCAGGCAAAAUCGGUGUGCAGACGUCACGUGUGGCAAUGGAAGGUUCAUAGUGGGACCCAUGAGGACUUCUGGUAAAAUUAGUGACUGUACCGUAAAACUAUUUAAAUAUUGGGACUUCAUUUCGGUAGGUAAAUAAAGGGUAAUGUUAUGGGUACAACCAAGUUGUAUCUCAAAUGCACACUCAAUGAGUGUCGUAUUUAGAUUAGUUGGGUGUGAGAUCCAUCCAGUCCUUUCACCC
rnacentral:lncRNA from 1 species